rnacentral:rRNA from 1 species
GACGAACGCUGGCGGCGUGCUUAACACAUGCAAGUCGAACGGAAAGGCCCUGCUUUUGUGGGGUGCUCGAGUGGCGAACGGGUGAGUAACACGUGAGUAACCUGCCCUUGACUUUGGGAUAACUUCAGGAAACUGGGGCUAAUACCGGAUAGGAGCUCCUGCUGCAUGGUGGGGGUUGGAAAGUUUCGGCGGUUGGGGAUGGACGCGCGGCUUAUCAGCUUGUUGGUGGGGUAGUGGCUUACCAAGGCUUUGACGGGUAGCCGGCCUGAGAGGGUGACCGGCCACCUUGGUACUAAGAGACGGACCAGACUCCUAUGGGAGGCAGCAGGGGGGAAUCUGGCACAAUGGGCGGAAGUCUGAUGCAGCAACGCCGCGUGCGGGAUGACGGCCUUCGGGUUGUAAACCGCUUUCGCCGGUGACGAAGCGUGAGUGACGGUAAUGGGUAAAGAAGCACCGGCUAACUACGUG